rnacentral:lncRNA from 1 species
GUUUUAAGCUCUUUGCAAAUAUCAUUUCAUAUGAUUGCCACAGCAAUGCUAAGUGUUAGGGUACUCCAGGAACUGGAGAAAGGUCCAUUGCUCCACCAACGGGCUCAGGGGGUGAAGUCAGUGUAUUCAUCUUGCAAGCUGGGAAAAAACCUCUUCCAGUCUUGCCUCAGAGAAAACUACCACAGGCAACUUUCUGCCCCCGACCACCCACCCCACAACUUACACCUUCUGGUACCUCUGAAAACAAAGCUCAAAAGGAGGGAGUUCAGCAUCAUGUUGAGAAGCUAAAGAGAGAAAGAGCUACGAAGGGGCAGCACAGAGAUAAGCAACUCUUGAAAUCAACAACUCUGGGCCAUGCCGCAGACACGGAGGAAUGCCAGCUCCAGAGGGAUGAGGAUGUACCAGUGGGAAUUCAGGAGAGGACUCGGGCUCCGG